rnacentral:rRNA from 1 species
GGAAUCUUGCGCAAUGGGCGAAAGCCUGACGCAGCAACGCCGCGUGCGGGAAGAAGGCUUUCGGGCUGUAGACCGCUUUCAGCAGGAACGAAAAUGACGGUACCUGCAGAAGAAGGAGCGGCCAACUAUGUGCCAGCAGCCGCGGUGAUACAUAGGCUUCAAGCGUUGUCCGGAUUUAUUGGGCGUAAAGAGUUCGUAGGCGGUCGAGUAAGUCGGGUGUGAAAAUUCUGGGCUCAACCCAGAAACGCCACCCGAUACUGCUUAACUUGAGUUCGAUAGGGGAGUGGGGAAUUCCUAGUGUAGCGGUGAAAUGCGCAGAUAUUAGGAGGAACACCGGUGGCGAAGGCGCCACUCUGGAUCGAUACUGACGCUGAGGAACGAAAGCAUGGGUAGCAAACAGGAUUAGAUACCCUGGUAGUCCAUGCCGUAAACGGUGGGCACUAGGUGUGGGAUUCUAUUAACGAAUUCCGCGCCGUCGCUAACGCAUUAAGUGCCCCGCCUGGGGAGUACGGUCGCAAGACUAAAACUCAAAGGAAUUGACGG